CCACUCGAGGCGCCAGACGGCUAGCGCGUAUCGGGCGCUGACCUGCAAAUACACCCGGUCAGCACUGGAGCCGCCCUCCCAGCGGUUACUGGUUCGAGUCCAGUCGAGGGAGCCA
rnacentral:tRNA from 1 species